rnacentral:lncRNA from 1 species
UGGCUCAAUUAAUUUAUUGAUUUGAUCAGAUUUAAUUGAGAUUAUAGGAGCCUAAUUAGAUUAGAUUCAUCAUAUUUUAAUUGGGUAUAAUUGGAUUGAGUUUGAAAAAAAUUCAAUUGGUUAAACCCUAGAGUCCCAAAUGAAUGGGACUCUCUCUCUUGUGCCACUCAAAUUGUCUCACACCUUUUCUCACUGCACAAAA